UUGGGUAUUCAUCUGGUGUCCACACUAAGUUCGGCAUCAAUAUGGUGACCUCCCGGGAGAUGGGGACCACCAGGUUGCCUAAGGAGGGGUGAACCAGACCAGAUCGGAAACGGAGCAGGUCAAAACUCCUGUCGCUACAGUAGUGGGA